ensembl:lncRNA LINC02855 long intergenic non-protein coding RNA 2855
AUGUCAGUCUUGGAAUGAAGACUUUAUGCAUCACUAGCUGUGUGCAUGUAUGUUCCCAGUUUUUCUUCAAGGGGGAUACUGUUUCCCUUUCUGAGAAGAUAAUCAAUGACCCUCCAAGACUUGAGAGGAGUGACCUGAGUUUAGGAGAUAGUAGAACCCACCUAGAUCAUGGUCGUGCCAGCAAAUCCGUGUGAAUGCCACUGGAUUAAAAGAAGGAAGUUUAGUUGAAUGGUUACUACCCUCAUUCACAGGAGCAGUUAUCGGCACUUCCACUGAGGCAAUGGCAGUGGGAAAAGGAAGGCAAAUAUUUAUUCACCCAUCCAUAAACUCAUAAAAGAGUGAGCUGAUGAACUGAACACAAGUUUUGGUGUAAUCAACAAGCUGCCUGGAAUAUGCAUGAACUGCCCUAAUUUUACAGAUGCCUUUACUUCUGAAAGCAUCUUCUGGGAGAGCUUAGCCUUUUCCCUAAGUUUGGAUUUGAAAGCAAGCAGAAUGGAAAUAAGUCCGUGUUGUUCACAUGUGCUUUAGUUUUUGUGCACUUAAAAGUUUUUAAAGAACUUUUUUAAAAAAAAACCUUCUAAUAUAAAUCUUUUGUAAAAGUAAUACUUAAAAGAAAA